AUGGAUAAUCUUGGCAAAGUAGAAAUGCUCACUAACAGGGAUGUAAACUAAUUUUUGCACAAAACUUGAGAGAAAGAAGCUUUUUGUGCAUAUGGAACAUUUCUGUGAUCUUUUAUUUCAGCUCAGUAAACAUGGGACCAACACUUUACAUGUUGUGUUAAUAUUUGUGUUUAGUAUAUAAACAUACUGCUCCAUAUCAAUGGGUUCCCGGUUUAUAUUUGUGUUUAGUAUAGCUAGCUAUCUAUUACUAGCUAUUAAUACUGGAAGUGUAGCCAACCCUAUUCAAAUAUGUAUGUAAUUAUUGUUAGCUAAAAAACAGUAACGUUGGCUUGUGAUGUCAUGGAGAUCAAAUGAAACAAUUAAACUGAUUUACAGUUUCAAAGAAAGAGAACAUCAUUUAAUUAUUUAAUUAGCAUUAUGGAGUAGAAUGUCCCUGAGUGAUCAUGUUGUGGUUGGCCAGGUGUGUGUGUGUUACCUGAGUGAUCUUGUUGUGGUUGGCCAGGUGUGUGUGUACCUGAGUGAUCUUGUUGUGUGUGGCCAGGUGUGUGUGUUACCUGAGUGAUCUUGUUGUGGUUGGCCAGGUGUGUGUGUUACCUGAGUGAUCAUGUUGUGGUGGCCAGUGUGUGUGUUACCUGAGUGAUCAUGUUGUGGUUGGCCAGGUGUGUUGUUACAGAGUUGA
rnacentral:lncRNA from 1 species